rnacentral:rRNA from 1 species
AUGGAGAUGGCGCACAGAGACCACAUCCUCGGCGCCGUGCACGGCGUCCUCGGCGCCGCCGUCCUCAUCCUGUGCCUCGCUGCCGAGCUGUCCGUCCUCGUCUUGCGGCGGCACGCGGCGCUCUAUCUCCUCCCCGUCUGCGCGAUGUUGACGCACCUGUGGCGCUCCGGCCGACGUGCGGGCAUUGGGCUGGUGGACUUCGCGUACCUGAAGCCGCCCCGCCGGCUGCGCGUCACCAUCCCGGGCCUGCUCGAGCACCUCCGCCUCAUCGGCUGCUUCGACGACGGCAGCGUCGAGUUCAUGUCCAGGGUCGUCGAGGACAGCGGCAUGGGCGACGAGACCUACUUCCCGCCGGCGCUGCACUACCUCCCGCCGUCCGCCACGCACGCCGACGCCGUCCAGGAGGCGGGGAUGCUCUUCUUCCCCACGCUCGACGAACUGUUCGCUAAGACGGGCGUGCCGCCGUCCGCCGUCGGCGCGCUCGUCGUCAACUGCAGCGGGUUCGGCCCUGCCCCGUCGCUUGCCGCCAUCAUCGCCAACCGCUACCGCAUGCCCACCGACGUCAAGACCUUCAACCUGUCCGGCAUGGGAUGCGCCGCGGGCAUCGUCGGCGUGGACGUCGCGAGGGGCGUCCUGAGGGCGCACGCCGGCGCCGUCGACUACGCCGUCGUCGUCAGCGCGGAGAUCGUCACGAUCGGGUGGUACAGAGGGAGGGACCGCAGCAAGCUGCUGCUCAACUGCUUCUUCCGCACCGGAUGCGCCGCCGCGCUACUGUCGAACACCGCAUCGGCGGCAGCGCCGGUCAAGUACCGGCUCGUCGCGCUGAAGCGCACGACCAUCGCGGCCGACGACCGCGGCUACAACUUGGCCAUGAGGGAGGAGGACGACGAGGGCAUCACGGGGUUCACCAUCGGGCGCGGCCUCGACCGUGUGUUCCGGGACCUCCUCCGCGCCCACCUCACCGCCUUCGGCGCCUCCAUCCUCCCAUGGCACGAGAAGCUCCGCUACGCCGCAGCGCUCGCGCGAUUCCGCCGCCGCCGCCGGAGCAGCAAGAAGGUCCAAGGCGGCGAAGGCCACGUGGAGGCGCCGAGGCCGAACUUCCUGGCCGCGGCGAGCCACUUCUGCCUGCCGUCGUCGGGGAUGCCGAACAUACGGAGGCUGGCGGAGGGGCUGGGGCUGGGGGAGAGGGAGGCGGAGGCGGCGCUGGCGACGUUCCAGCGGUUCGGGAACCAGUCGGCGGCGUCGCUGUGGUACCAGCUCGGGUACCACGAGGCGAGGGGGCGGGUCCGGCAGGGCGACCGCGUGUGGCAGCUCGGCAUCGGGAGCGGGCCCAAGGCGAGCAGCGCCCUGUGGGAGCGUGUCGCCGCAUACGGCGGCGCCGCGGCGGCCGAUGAGGGGCCGUGGGGCGACUGCGUCGUCCGCUACCCGGCGAGGGCACCCGGCGCCCCGUUGGCUUGA